AUUGAACGCUGGCGGCAUGCCUUACACAUGCAAGUCGAACGGCAGCACGGGAGCAAUCCUGGUGGCGAGUGGCGAACGGGUGGGUAAUAUAUCGGAACGUGCCCGGUCGUGGGGGAUAACGUAGCGAAAGCUACGCUAAUACCGCAUACGAUCUAUGGAUGAAAGCGGGGGAUCGCAAGACCUCGCGCGAUUGGAGCGGCCGAUAUCAGAUUAGGUAGUUGGUGAGGUAAAGGCUCACCAAGCCGACGAUCUGUAGCUGGUCUGAGAGGACGACCAGCCACACUGGGACUGAGACACGGCCCAGACUCCUACGGGAGGCAGCAGUGGGGAAUUUUGGGACAAUGGGCGCAAGCCUGAUCCAGCAAUGCCGCGUGCAGGAUGAAGGCCUUCGGGUUGUAACUAGCUUUGUUACGGUAACGGAAA
rnacentral:rRNA from 1 species